rnacentral:misc_RNA from 1 species
GAUGAAGAACGCAGCGAAAUGCGAUACGUAAUGUGAAUUGCAAAUUCAGUGAAUCAUCGAGUCUUUGAACGCACAUUGCGCCCCCUGGUAUUCCGGGGGGCAUGCCUGUCCGAGCGUCAUUGCUGCCCUCUAGCACGGCUUGUGUGUUGGGCCCCGUCCUCCGAUCCCGGGGGACGGGCCCGAAAGGCAGCGGCGGCACCGCGUCCGGUCCUCGAGCGUAUGGGGCUUUGUCACCCGCUCUGUAGGCCCGGCCGGCGCUUGCCGAUCAACCCAAAUUUUUAUCCAGGUUGACCUCGGAUCAGGUAGGGAUACCCGCUGAACUUAAGCAUAUCAAUAAGCGGAGGA